GACGAACGCUCGCGGCGUGCUUAACACAUGCAAGUCGAACGGUAAGGCCCUUCGGGGUACACGAGUGGCGAACGGGUGAGUAACACGUGGGUGAUCUGCCCUGCACUUCGGGAUAAGCCUCGGAAACUGGGUCUAAUACCGGAUAGGACUCCUGGCUUCAUGGUUGGGGGUGGAAAGCUUUUGCGGUGUGGGAUGGGCCCGCGGCCUAUCAGCUUGUUGGUGGGGUAAUGGCCUACCAAGGCGACGACGGGUAGCCGGCCUGAGAGGGUGACCGGUCACACGUGGACUGGGAUACGGCCCAGACUCCUACGGGAUGCAGCCGUGGGGAAUAUUGAACAAUGGGCGCCAGCCUGAUGCAGCGACGCCGCGUGGGGGAUGACGGCCUUCGGGUUGUAAACCUCUUUCAGCUAUGACGAAGCGCAAGUGACGGUAGUAGCAGAAGAAGGACCGGCCAACUACGUGCCAGCCGCCGCUGUAA
rnacentral:rRNA from 1 species